GAGUAACGCCGUGUGAGGGACGAAGGGGGGGGGAUCCUAAAACUCCCUUGUUAAUGAAGAAUAAGGGUUAGAGUAACCGUGAACAUUUUGCCGGUAUUUAACCAGAAAUCCAAGGCUAAGUGUGUGCCAGCAGCCGCGGAAAUACGUUGGUGCCAAGCGUUUUCCCGAUUUAUUGGGCGUAAAGCGAGCGCACGCGGUUUUGCAAGUUUGUUGUGAAAGCCCUCAGCUCAACUGAGGAAGUGCAGUGGAAACUACAAAACUUGAGUACAGAAGAGGAAAGUGGAAAUCCAUGUGUAGCGGUGAAAUGCGUAGAUAUAUGGAAGAACACCAGUGGCGAAGGCGGCUUUCUGGUCUGUUACUGACGUUGAGGCUCGAAAGCAUGGGUAGCGAACAGGAUUAGAUACCCUGGUAGUCCAUGCCGUAAACGAUGAAUACUAGGUGUUGGAGGGUUUCCGCCAUUCAGUGCCGCAGCUAACGCAUUAAGUAUCCGCAUGGGAGU
rnacentral:rRNA from 1 species